rnacentral:lncRNA from 1 species
UGACAACUCAGUCUUUCAAUCUAAUAUCCAAGUUGGAUGCAUCUGCCCAGGGGCUCCAGCAAACACACAGUUGAUUGAAAUUAGGAUUUUGGAAACCUGCUCCCUACAGUACCCAGAGAAUAAUGCAACCAACUGUUGGGACAAUGCCUAGUGAUACCUCUUAGCUUUUUGGUGGUAGACCAGUAAUCCAAAGUAGUAGAGUAGAUGAACAAAGCCAUGGCAUUGUCAUCAAUGCAUGGGAACCACAGCUAGAAUCUCUGGUUGGAGCUGCCAAAGUGAGCCUCCCCAUUGUGUUUCUCACACCACUCUUGCUGUUGGGCAUUUAGUAUUCCAAUGAAAUCACCAGCUUCAUGUUCAGCUGGCCUGAUUGCUGAAGAAGCUGAUUACAUUAUUCAUUCUCAUAAAAGGAUUUUUAGGACUCUCAAGGAUCCAUAGAGGAUUUAAAAAAAAAAAAAGAAAGAGAAGAAAAAACCUCCAGAGUUAUCAACAGUUUAUCUUUCUGUUCUUUCAAAGAGACAGAGUCACAGAGGAUAAAUGGAGAGAGCCUGAACAGAGAAUGGAUUUUGGGUGAGUUUAGAAUCCCUGUCUUAUAUAGAAUUUGUCUUUUCAUUUCUGCUUUUCAUUUCUCCUUUCUACUUCUUUUCUGGAUGGGUCCUCCAUCUUCUUGAAAACAACAAUACCAGAACCAACCAAACAAAACCCUACUGUUUGCUUAUUUCCCUAUGAAAUACUUCCAUCUACUGGAUAAAUGGAGAAAACUCAUGCCUCGACUUUGUUGCUAUACUUGUACCAGGAUAUAUGAAGACCAUCUAGCACAAUAAUUAGAAAUCACAAAUUAGAAAAUUAAAGAGGUUGAGGAAAUUCUUCACUUUGAACCUAGCAAAGGAAACUCCCCAUGUAUUUGAUAUACAAAUGAACACACAUAUACAGUUUGGAAAUAGCCAGAUUGAAAUAUAAAUCUGCAGUUGUCACAGAAAGCAAAUUUGAGGGGAAAAGGGAUGAGAGGCUAGGCAGAGAGAGAGGGGAAGAGAUGGCCUUUCUGGUAAAGCAGGUGGCAUGUUUCUAGUCAAAUCACACAGGAAGGAGGCUCUGGAUUCAGAGAUUGUGGCCAAGUUAACUAUAUUUCCUCUAUGAAGAAAAGUAAUUCCAUGAGACCUGAAAAGAAGUAAGAUUGUCUUCUAACUUAUCAAAGGGGACACUCUCAAUCAAAGCUACUCAGAAAUGAUGCUUCUUCCUCCCUUUUUUUUUUUUAAACAUUCCAUACUCAUUUAUUUUGCAUCUGGAAGUUUGUACCUCUUAAUCCCCCCUUCUUUCCUUAUCCUCCUACCCCCUUCCCUCUCUGGCAACCAACUGUUUGUUCUCUGUAUCUAUGACUCUGUGCCUGUUUUGGUCUGUUUGUUUGUUUUGUUUUUCCAUGUCUUGGCUAUUGUAAAUAAUACUGCAGUGAACAUGGGGGUGUAUGUACCUUUUCAAAUCUAAAAAACAAAUCAGUAUUUGUCUUUCUGAUUUAUUUCAUUUAGCAUACUACCCUCUAGGUCUAUCCAUUUUUCUCAAAUGACAAGAUUUCAUUCUUUUCUAUGGCUGAGUAAUUGUUGAUCUCUCUCUCUCUCUCUCUCUCUCUCUCUCUCUCUCUCACACACACACCACACACACAAACACACAUUCAUUCAUCCAUCUACUGAUGAGCACUUAGGUUGCUUCCAUGUGUUGGCUAUUGUAAAUACUGCAGUGAACAUAGGGGUGUAUGUACCUUUUCAAAUUAGUGUUUUUGUUUUCUUUGGAUAAAUACACAGGAGUAGAAUCAUGGGAUCAUAUGAUUGCUCUGUUUUUAAUAUUUUUGUGGAAUCUCCAUAUUGUUUUCCAUAAUAGCUGAACAAAUUUUAUGUUCCCACCAACUGUGCAUGAGAGUUCCCUGUUCUCCAUAUCCUAGCCAACACUUGUUAUUCAUUGUCCUUUUGAUAAUAGCCAUUCUGACAGGUAUGAGGUGUCAUCUCACUGUGGUUUUGAUUAGCAUUUCUUUGAUGAUGGGUGAUGUUGAGCAUCUUUUCAUGUGCUUGUUGGCCAUCUGUAUGUCUUCUUUGGAAAAAUGUCUAUUUAGAUCUCUACCCCUUUUUUUAAAUUACUCAAUGAAUUUUAUUACAUUUACAGUUGUACAAUGAUCAUCACAACCUGAUUUUAUAGCAUUUUCAGGAAAAUGUCCUUUUCUUAAACUGGGUUGUUUGUGGGGUUUUGUGUUGACUUAUAUGAGUUUCUCAUUUAUUUUUAAAAAGAAUCCAUAUGGAAAGUGAGGUCAGAUGCUGGAAUUUGGAAAGAUGUUUACCAUCUAUUAGAGAACUAAUCCAGACUUAUGGAAUUAAAGAUUCAUAGUGUGUCAAAGCUGGUUGGAAUCUCAAACACAAGUCCAGCUUCCUCAUUUGACUGAUAAGAAAAUUAGGAUUGGAAAAGCACAAGGAUGCUGUCUAUAAAUACUUAAACUUCAGAAGUAAACUAACAAAUCCAACAAAAGAUAACAAAAUUCAAGCUUUCUGUAAGGAUUUUAAAUACAUGUGUAUUGUUUAUAAUAUCAGCUUCUCCGGAGUUAAUAAUUUCUAAAAAACAAACUCAUGUGCUCACUAAAAUGGUAUAGACAUUCUCUUGGACUAAAAUACCUACUACAGUGGAGCUUCCAUGGUUUGUCUGCUUAGAAUAAAUAGGGAAUAACAGAGUGAGGAAAAAAGUACAGUGCCUUUUUUAAAGAGUGAGUUUCAAUAGAAAACAGGUCUAAAUAGAAUACAGAUUAAAUUAUAUUCCCUCAAAGGUAAGCUUUGUCUGAAUGUGGUUCAUAUACUCUCUCUCCUAUUCCAUGCAACUGUAAGGAGAGGAAUUCAACCAAAAAGGAAGACUGAAGAAGGAGAAAAGACUUGGUGACUAAAAUAGCUUCAUGGGAACACUCUGAGAGACAGUUUAGCUUUUCCAGUGUGUUAGAUACAUUAAAUCAACAGGAAGAUGCUUAUCCUGGAAAUGGCUUCCACUAUGGUAUGAACAUUCUUUGGAGGUAAAACCUCCUUCAUUCCUGGCGUUAGACCUGGUUCUGUCAUUAACUAGUUGCCUGGACUGAGGCUCCUAUGUCUUAACUGAUGUAAUUGACCAAGGGUGUGGAUGUUCCCUGCGGUAUGAAAUAAACCCCUGCUUGAUGAAUUAGCUGGGAUGGAUGGUUUUAGGCACUUAGAAGAUAACAUUACAAUAUGACGUAUUACCUUCAGAAGCAUUAAAAGCACAUGCACACAUGUACACACACAUUCAUGAGUGCUGCUAUAUACACUUAAAAAAUUAAGUUCUUGCUUUCUUAGAAGUGGCAUGUCCCUUGAAGAGAGCAAAUUUUUAAAAAUGAAGCAUUUAUUCAGUCUCAUUAUACAGUAUAAUUUUUCUAGAAUAUUGGACUGCCCAGAGGUAAAUUACAGAGAUGUGUACAAAGUGAAGCUAUUUUUCUAAUCAAAUCACUGACAUGUUAAAAAAUUCAUCUGAACU